UACGAGGGGUGCAAGCGUUGCUCGGAAUUAUUGGGCGUAAAGGGUAGGUAGGUGGUCUCGUUUGUCUGGGGUGAAAGCCUUGAGCUUAACUCAAGAAGUGCCCUAGAAACGGCGAGACUCGAGUUCUGGAGAGGGUCGUGGAAUUCCCGGUGUAGCGGUGAAAUGCGUAGAGAUCGGGAGGAACACCAGAGGCGAAGGCGACUUCCUGGCCUGUUCUUGACGCUGAGGCGCGAAAGCUAGGGUAGCAAACGGG
rnacentral:rRNA from 1 species